CCCAACACCGCGGUGCCUCUGCUGUUCUGCGCGCUGCUGCUGCUGUUGUCGCUGCUGCAUCUGAUCUGCACCGGUCGCCGCGCCUGCUCCAGAGCCUGCAUCGCCGCCUGCAUCUGCACCGGUCGCCGCCCCUGCUCCAGAGCCUGCAUCGCCGCCUGCAUCUGCACCGCGCCGCCCCACCCUUCCGGCCGCAGAUCUGCUCGCCGCCUGCUCCAGAGCUUGCACAGCGUCGCCGCACCGCCUGCACCCUGCCGGCCG
rnacentral:lncRNA from 1 species